UCGGGAAUUUUGGGCAAUGGGCGAAAGCCUGACCCAGCAACGCCGCGUGAAGGAUGAAGUAUUUCGGUAUGUAAACUUCGAAAGAAUAGGAAGAAUAAAUGACGGUACUAUUUAUAAGGUCCGGCUAACUACGUGCCAGCAGCCGCGGUAAUACGUAGGGACCAAGCGUUGUUCGGAUUUACUGGGCGUAAAGGGCGCGUAGGCGGCAAUUCAAGUCAUCUGUGAAAUCUCCGGGCUUAACUCGGAACGGUCAGAUGAUACUGCUUUGCUAGAGUGCAGAAGGGGCAAUCGGAAUUCUUGGUGUAGCGGUGAAAUGCGUAGAUAUCAAGAGGAACACCUGAGGUGAAGACGGGUUGCUGGGCUGACACUGACGCUCAUGCACGAAAGCGUGGGGAGCAAACAGGAUUAGAUACCCAAGUAGUCCCUGAGCGGGCUGGCAAGGCGCAU
rnacentral:rRNA from 1 species